rnacentral:rRNA from 1 species
AUCGGUUGUUCUACCAAGAGCAUGGCCGAGUAGCCAAGUCGGGAAGGGAUAAACGCUGAAGGCAUCUAAGCGUGAAGCCCCCCUCAAGAUGAGAUAUCCCAUAACGCAAGUUAGUAAGACCCCUUGAAGACGACGAGGUAGAUAGGGCAGAGGUGGAAGUGCAGUAAUGCAUGGAGCUGACUGUUACUAAUAGGUCGAGGGCUUAACCAAG